CAGUGAAGAAAUUGAUCCGAGCAACUAGGGAUAUGUAUAGGAAGAGUGCAAUGAAGAAGCAAGUUCUUGAACAUCCGUCGAAUUGGCCAUAUAUCGUGUUCCAAGCAAUACUUGCUGCUGAUGGGGCAGCAAUGAACAUAGAGUAAACAGGAUGAAGCUCUUUAGGAAGAGCUUCACUGGUGGGAAGUCUCUGAUAAAGUGUUACAAACACAACCAAGUAAUGUGCAAAACCUACUGCCCAUAGAAACUUAGCUACUUCAUCCCAUCCAACUUUUGAAGCUAAGAUGGCCCCGACGAAAUUCCCUACAACAGAAAGAUGAGAAGAUGGGUUUGCGACUUUGCAUAGUCGCCUCUUCCCUCCCGAAAGCCAUUGCCCGUAGAUCUUUAGCUCGAGGAAGAAAUAAGGACCCAUGAAAACACACCAAAUGGCGGGAUGGAGGUAUUUUCGGUUUGGUGAGAACAUGGGAGGUACGCUAAUGGCUAGGAACAUGCAAACCACCCAAGGAGCGAAGAAGAAGUUGACUCGAACAGGAUGAAAAUACUCUCUUUUGACAGCUUCAAAGUAGAAGAUGCAUUUGAGUAUGACUUUUCGCUAGGGCAAGCCACAAGACAGCUUGACUGCUAAGUCCCAAACAGAUACCGAAGCAUCCAAUUGGGAACCUUAGGAGAAACGGCCAUUGCUC